AGCUCCAAUAGCGUAUACUAAAGUUGUUGCAGUUAAAAAGCUCGUAGUUGGAUUUCUGGUCGAGGCAGCCGGUCAGCACCAAGUGUGUUCGCACCAGGCGCCUCGUCCAUUUUUGUAGAGGCUGCGUCUGUCAUUAAGUUGUCGGGCGUAGGGUCUGCAUCAUUUACUGUGAGCAAAAUAGAGUGUUCAAAGCAGGCUUAGGCCGUGAAUACAUUAGCAUGGAAUAAUAAGAUAAGACCUUGGUCUAUUUUGUUGGUUAGCAUUCCGAGGUAAUGAUUAAUAGGGAUAGUUGGGGGUAUUCGUAUUCAAAUGUCAGAGGUGAAAUUCUUGGAUUUUUUGAAGACGAACUACUGCGAAAGCAUUUACCAAGGAUGUUUUCA
rnacentral:rRNA from 1 species